UACGAACUGUGCAAACGUUAUUCGGAAUCACUGGGCUUAAAGGGUGCGUAGGCGGCGAUAAAGGUCAGGUGUGAAAUCCCACGGCUCAACCGUGGAACUGCGCUUGAAACCAUAUUGCUUGAGGGAGUCAGAGGUAAGCGGAACUGUUGGUGGAGCGGUGAAAUGCGUAGAUAUCAACAGGAACACCGGUGGCGAAAGCGGCUUACUGGGACUUUUCUGACGCUGAUGCACGAAAGCCAGGGGAGCAAACGGG
rnacentral:rRNA from 1 species